UUCUAGCUCUGUAUCACCAACCAAAAUACAGGCCUCUCCCAAUGUCAAGUUAAGGCCACUUUGAUACAUUCAUUUUGCAUAAUGACAGUAAGAUAACUACACAAUUGCAAAUUACACAACAUGAAAACCGGAGGGAAGAAAGCAGAGUCAAGUUUGAUCUAAAACAAUAAUAAUACACAUUUUUCAAAAAAGGGUAACGUAUGUAGAUUUUGAUAAAAUGUACAAGCAUUUUAAUUAUAACUAAUAAACUUGAUUAAAUAUGCAUAAAAGCAAAAUUUCCAUAUCCAUUUAUCAAAGGUCAUUAAGCAGGCACUAUUACCCAGAUCAACUAAUAGUAGGGAGUGUAUAGAUUUUCAUAAUAUUUCUUUCCUUUUGGAGUAUUUGGAGCCAUUUAGAUUUGCCACUGCUUCAUUAAAGCUGCUAACACCAAACCAACUUUUACAUGUGCAGACAGCUUGUCAAUGUAUAGUUAAUUCAAUGUGUACUUCAGCUCUACUACCUCCAUCGCGCUGACUAGCCUUCAGUAUCAUUAAAAUGGGACGUUUUUCCUGCUACAUCAGAAACCAACUAAAAUAAACUUUUUACCUCAUUAUUUCCACUUGGACACAUCGCAACAUGGGAACUGUAGCAGCUUUCAUUAAUAUUGAAAGGAGCCGCUCCCUUUGGCUAAAACCUGACGCAAAUGGUUGUUGUGUAGCAGGAACAUUACAUGGCUUAUGAUGACAUCGUAUUCAAUCAAUAUUUCUAUCAAUCACAUUUAUCUUAUAAAGCCCUUUUUACAUCAGCAUUUGUUACUAAGUGAUUGUUCGGAUACUCAGCCUAAGACCCCAAAGAGCAAGCACAGUAACUUUCUUCUAUAACACCCUAACAAAACUCCACACCCCAUGAUAGAUCACUAUGAUUAGAUUAUGAAAACCCUAUUUAUACCAUUACAACCGAUAUCAUUACCACAGACAUUUCUACCACCAGCACUGACCCCACACAACCAUAAACAGGUGAAAACAAGCAAGCACACCACAUUGAUUUCAGCCUUUCUAGUUCCACGGCUUCAUAAUAAUCCAACCCUUCGUUCUUUUUCAGGGCCCCCCCCCCCAAGUUCAUUCGGAAAAGAAAAUAUAAAUAGUUUGCACGUUAACAGGUGGGUGAGCUGAAUUGCCACCAUAUCACUGUCAGGUCACAAGACGCUGGGCUCAAUGUCUAUGAACCAAAGGAAUUCCAUCAUACCAUAGGAGUCUGAAAUCUCCAAUCCAGUUCGAGCUCGACAUCACAUGACUCCGGUGCCGCCGCCAACUUGACCCCGGCCCCCUUUGUUGUUCAGACCCGCAGUUUUUCGCCCAAAGGUCUAGUUGUGACAGUGGCUUUUAAUGAGAAUCCAGUUGGCCUUCCCUCCCUAGGACCCCUCAUUAAUGUUGGCCUCCGUGUCAGAGGGUGGGGGGCUGCGGCGGGGGCAGGCUCUCGUGGUAUCACUGCUCUGUGGAGAGCCGGGCCUGAUCCCAGCCACGAGGAGCCCGCAGGCGGAGAGACCGGUUUAAUAUUCCGCUCUGCGACGUGUCGGCUUUCCAAUUCACCACGAUUGCAUUAUUAAACUUACAUAAGCUCAUUUCCAUACAAAGCAGGGGACCAGCGGAAGAGAGUCAUACAUAUUUAUCGGCGUGUGCCUGACUAACGCACGGACACACUCGCGCCGGCAUAACUUAGCCGUGGUACAUAAGUGAGGGGUGGAAACCGGGUGCGUUCCUUAUGUUCUGAGCGUGAGCAGUAUUGAGCGGGGACGGUCAGCGAGAGCCACCCAUCAAUCACCCGACCAGCCCGAGACUUAGACGGUUUCUCACACUCACGCACAGGCAGCAUUCGAACGAGUUCAUCGCGAGGAAAGGCGACGCGUACCGAGCUCUGAGAGGUUUACGACCAAUGAUCUACACGCGCCAAGCACACACAGCCCUGCCAAAACUCCACUUGUCCAUGUUGACUGGUCCCUUCCACGGUGGAUAUUUCCAUCCACUAUAGCAUCCACUGCCCUGCCUGUUUUGCCUCUCCCUGCUGCCCAACUGUCUUCUCCUACUCCACUCGUUCCUGGUCAGUUCUCCUCCCUACAUUCCCGACCCCCUUUUCUUCCUCACCCACCUUCAGAUGAGGACUUUCCUCUUCCUUUGAGAUUGCUGUUGUGUCUUAUGGCUUUUUAUUCCUACGUGAUGGUAGAUGUGUUCAUGUAGGGAUAGAAGCCACUAAACACACAGUGAGAGGUCAACGUGCAGGCCAGUUGAGCCAAGGCUCCCUUUUUCAAUAUGAAACCAUAAAAUACAACAUGCGCGUAUGCAACAUAGACUCUUCAGAUCCACUUUGCAAGUAGCUAUUUUACUGUGGAAUUAUAUUCAACAAGUUCCACACAUAUUUAUACAGCGAUGUCCAUUACAUGAGAAUAGUGGCAAACCAAAACAGGAACAAAUGUCAAAUGUCGCAGUCAGUAACAAAGGAAGCAAUCAUUUCCAGAGAAAAAGAACCAUCUUCAUAAAGAGGAUGGUAAGAUACUUCUCUAUAGGUUCUCUAUGUCCAUGGAUACUGAGGUAAGUGGCGUUCCAAAUUUCCAACCCAAAACACGCUGCACAUUUGAAAUCCUGAUAUCUGAAACGUUAAAUGUUAUUCUAUGUGCUUUAUUAUGAUGACAAAUAAAACACAUUGGUAGCCGCUGUCAUAGCUGGAGUGCAGUACCCUCAGUAAUGUACAAGAAUGUUCACACGAUUCAUCUACAUCAUUCACAACACAUGAUAGGAGCAUCAAUUAUUGACAGUGUUUUCUGUAGACCUCAGUGCUUUCUGGGAGAAUGUUGGAAUAGAUUAUUGCCAAUGGAUUCACUGCCUCAGGGUGUGUGUGGUUUUCUGUUUUCCUAAGUCGAAUUGGCGCAUGAAUAUGAAGUGUGUUUGUAUGUUCAUACAUGCAUCUCAGUCUUUUAAUCCGUCUCCAUCUGCUUCUGGCUUUGACUGUCCUGUAAUAAAUAAUGCUCUUUUGUGUUGUUGCUUUCUUUCAUUUGUUUUCUUUAUAUUGUCAAUGGUGCUGAUCGUUGAAUAAAUUAUACAUUCUCACCAA